UACGUAGGUGACAAGCGUUGUCCGGAUUUACUGGGCGUAAAGAGCGCGCAGGCGGUCGUUCAAGUCGAGUGUGAAAGCCCCGGCUCAACUGGGGAGGGUCAUUCGAUACUGAUCGACUCGAAGGCAGGAGAGGGAAGUGGAAUUCCCGGUGUAGUGGUGAAAUGCGUAGAUAUCGGGAGGAACACCAGUGGCGAAGGCGACUUCCUGGCCUGUUCUUGACGCUGAGGCGCGAAAGCUAGGGGAGCAAACGGGG
rnacentral:rRNA from 1 species